rnacentral:rRNA from 1 species
UACGUAGGUGACAAGCGUUGUCCGGAUUUACUGGGCGUAAAGAGCGCGCAGGCGGUCGAUCAAGUCGAGUGUGAAAGCCCCCGGCUCAACUGGGGAGGGUCAUUCGAAACUGGUCGACUCGAAGGCAGGAGAGGGUAGUGGAAUUCCCGGUGUAGUGGUGAAAUGCGUAGAUAUCGGGAGGAACACCAGUGGCGAAGGCGGCGAUCUGGGUCGAUACUGACGCUGAGGUGCGAAAGCGUGGGGAGCAAACAGG